rnacentral:rRNA from 1 species
UACGUAGGGUGCAAGCGUUUAUCCGGAAUUAUUGGGCGUAAAGAGCUCGUAGGCGGUUUGUCGCGUCUGCUGUGAAAACUGGGGGGCUCAACCCCCCAGCCUGCAGUGGGUACGGGCAGACUAGAGUGCGGUAGGGGAGAUUGGAAUUCCUGGUGUAGCGGUGGAAUGCGCAGAUAUCAGGAGGAACACCGAUGGCGAAGGCAGAUCUCUGGGCCGUAACUGACGCUGAGGAGCGAAAGACAUGGGGAGCGAACAGG